rnacentral:misc_RNA from 1 species
UCCAUGAGAACACAUACGCAGUGCCACGAAAGGAGAAAAACAGAGUAACAGACAGAAAGGCUAUUCAAAGCAGACGUAUACGCAAUUACAGGGAGCGUCAACGACGCGCACAUCACGCAGCGCGCCUUCUUCUGUCCCCCUUGUAGCCAACACAAGAUCCGACUUUGUGGUAAUACUCGACAAGCUUCUCUUGCGUUUCCACUCUCAUUACCGCCUCUUUUGUGUAUUUCUGUAAAGGCGGGUAACGCAGGCGGUUGGCCAAAAUAUACCAAGAGAGGCUUCUGCUUUUUCCUUUUUUUCUUGCAUUGACUCUUCUUGCUCAGCUGGUCAUGGGAUCUACCACCGGUGCGGACAAGACCAUCAAGGUCCUCCUCAUCGGCGACAGCGGUGUGGGUAAGUCCUCCCUGCUGCUCUCCUUCACCACUGGGGCCUUUGAUGAGAAUAUUUCGUCGACCAUCGGCAUCGAUUUCAAGGUGAAGAAGGUGGACGUCGUAGAUGCCCACACAGGCGGCAAAACUACCGUGAACCUGCAGCUAUGGGAUACGGCAGGACAGGAGCGCUUCCGUACCUUGACCAGCUCAUACUAUCGUGGUGCACAGGCUGUUGUACUCGUCUACGAUGUUAACGAUCCGCAGUCUUUCCACGGUCUCAAGAAGUGGCUUGAUGAAGCGAAUAGCUACUGCCGCCGUGACGAGGCGGAGAGCAGUAGCAUGGUGUUCCUGCUGAUCGGCAACAAGACGGACCUGUGCCCUGAUGAGAACUACAUGCCGCUGCCCUGCUCGACAGCGCAAGGGUUUGCCCAGCAGAACAACAUGCUUUUCGCCCUCACCUCUGCUAAGACAAGGAUUGGGGUGGCGCAGGCAUUUGACGAGGUGGCGCGUAGUGUGUAUGAUAAGUUGCAGGACUUGGAGCAGUACGAGCGACGUCGGAUCACGAACUUGAACGAUGGCAGCAGCAACGGCGGUGGACAGGGCUGCUGCUAGGGCAAGCUGUACCACACCAAACUGAGAAAGGUGCGAGGAACGGUUCAUAAGAGUAGAGGCAGAGCCGCGGUGUGCGGCGCAUGCUUGCAUCAGCCGAUUCGAGUACAGGAACCCAUACGCAUAUUUUCCAGCAUGUGAUGAGGGAGGCAUAACUGGGUACUGAGCAGGAGCCGCAGGUGCGGCACACACAGACGAGAUGUGGAAGGGGGGGGUGCACUCAGCUAUGCGCCUCUUGGUAUUCCUGACAUCGUGCUUCCCCCUCAUUUGUGCAGUGCCUUCUCCGUCUUUCCAUUGGCUGCCUCUUUCUUUGUCUCCCUGCGGCUCAGUCCCUUUUCUGCCGCUGGUUGCCCGCCUUAAGCCAGACAUAAGGCGCACGGCUGGCCCUACAGCUAGAACUUGCCUGGCCCGUCACCUUUUUUAAUUCCACCACCGCCUUUCCACACCCUCCCUCACUCUGCAGAGCGUAUGCGCCACGGCCUCCCUCUUCUCUUCUCCUGUCGAGACGCUUCUCCCUUUUUUUUUUCGUGUUGUCUUUGCUUCACCGCGGCGUGGCUUCCCCGUGCUUCUCCUGCCUUAGCUUGCAAAGGUGUAUCCGUUGCCCUGUGCAUAUAUAUGUGUGUGCGUGUGUUGCGUUUGUUUUCCCUUUUCCGUGUACGAUUUACGCUGAGAGGCACGGCAUUGCCUCGCUGCCUUUUUUUCCCUCUACGGUGAUGAGGCUCAUCCGCCCUCCCUUUCCCUUCCCCUCUGCGAGUUACAGGUCCAGCGCCGCCUUU